rnacentral:rRNA from 1 species
AUUGAACGCUGGCGGCAGGCCUAACACAUGCAAGUCGAGCGGAGCGGCGGACGGAUGAGUAAUGCCUAGGAAUCUGCCUGGUAGUGGGGGAUAACGUCCGGAAACGGGCGCUAAUACCUCAUACGAUCAGAUGAGCCUAGGGCGUAUGAGCGAGUUGGUGGGGUAGAGGCCUACCAAGGCGACGAUCCGUACCUGGUCUGAGAGGAUGAUCAGUCACACUGGAACUGAGACACGGCCCAGACUCCUACGGGAGGCAGCAGUGGGGAAUAUUGGACAAUGGGCGAAAGCCUGAUCCAGCCAUGCCGCGUGUGUGAAGAAGGCCUUCGGAUUGUAAAGCACUUUAAGUCGGGAGGCGUUACCAACAGAAUAAGCACCGGCUAACUUCGUGCCAGCAGCCGCGGUAAUAC